CAAAAUAAGAACUAAAUGUAAAACAAAGACCCUUAAUUUUUAGUGAUAAAUUCUUCACACAUAUUAUAACAAACUACUCUAAAAAGAAAGCACAUAUAUAUUUUAUAUAAAUAUUUCAAGAUGAAGAGACAGAUAUGAAAUAAAAAAUGACCACCAGAGGAGCCAGAAAGCCAAAAAUAUCAGUCAGAGAAGACACCAAAAAAACAUCAAGAAAAGCCUACUCUUUACCCGGAAAGAGACAACCCAGCAAGACAGAAAGCUUUUAGAUAAUUAUCACUCCACUUCAGCAAAACACUACAGGAAAAAUUGCCCAUUCCCAGCCCUAACAACAAAGGCCAAGUGGGAGUCUAGACUUCUGGCCUCACCAAACUAUAUCAAG
rnacentral:lncRNA from 1 species